rnacentral:rRNA from 1 species
UACGAAGGGGGCUAGCGUUGCUCGGAAUCACUGGGCGUAAAGCGCACGUAGGCGGAUUUCUAAGUCAGGGGUGAAAUCCUGGAGCUCAACUCCAGAACUGCCUUUGAUACUGGGAGCCUCGAGUCCGGGAGAGGUGAGUGGAACUGCGAGUGUAGAGGUGAAAUUCGUAGAUAUUCGCAAGAACACCAGUGGCGAAGGCGGCUCACUGGCCCGGUACUGACGCUGAGGUGCGAAAGCGUGGGGAGCAAACAGG